AAGAAACAUAGAGAGGAGCCAGAAAGGGGUGUAUUUUGGUGACCUGACCUAAUUUUUUCUGUGGAAGCUCAGAUCUAAAUGAAGAGUUAGUAUUGGCCAGGCAAAUGGCUCAAUGUUCUGGACACAAGCAAGGGCAUGCCCAGAGCCCAGCGGUAGGAGAGGAUAGGGCUUGGCACGUUGGAGGAUGACCAGGGGGCCGGUCCGGUGGGAUGUGGAGUGGGUGGAAGGGAGGCUGGAGGAGGUGGCACUAAAUUGGGGCUAACAGCGAUGGGCGAUUAUCAGAGAUUUUUAAGAAGGUAAAUGCUCUAAUAACAUAGACUUUUUUAAAACAGUUUGCCCCACUGUGUUUUAUUUACAGAGGUAUAAUUUGCAGUGAAGUGCACAAAUCGGUGAAAUUUUACGUAUGCAACCUUUAUCACUCACCACCCAAACCAGAGUGGUGUCUUCCCAACACCCCAGGGCCUCUAGUCCUUUUCCAGCGUUGCCUGAAGACACAAACUACUGAUGGCUGCAUCCACAUGACUGACUUCAAACACAGCACGCUGCACGAGAAAAGCCGGAUACGCGCGUGGAAAGUGGGUGGCUCCACCACCCUGCUGUUCAGGGUCUUUAUUUCUUUGAUGUACAGCUCCAUAAAGAUGCCAGUGCAAUUCUUCUCCUUUCUAUCAGAGGUCCUUAAGUAA
ensembl:lincRNA